AGCGAACGCUGGCGGCAGGCUUAACACAUGCAAGUCGAACGGGCGUAGCAAUACGUCAGUGGCAGACGGGUGAGUAACGCGUGGGAACGUACCUUUUGGUUCGGAACAACCCAGGGAAACUUGGGCUAAUACCGGAUAAGCCCUUACGGGGAAAGAUUUAUCGCCGAAAGAUCGGCCCGCGUCUGAUUAGCUAGUUGGUGUGGUAACGGCGCACCAAGGCGACGAUCAGUAGCUGGUCUGAGAGGAUGAUCAGCCACAUUGGGACUGAGACACGGCCCAAACUCCUACGGGAGGCAGCAGUGGGGAAUAUUGGACAAUGGGCGCAAGCCUGAUCCAGCCAUGCCGCGUGAGUGAUGAAGGCCCUAGGGUUGUAAAGCUCUUUUGUGCGGG
rnacentral:rRNA from 1 species